rnacentral:rRNA from 1 species
GAAACAGGUCAAUAUUCCUGUACCCCUUUUGACUGCGAUGGAGUGACGGAGAAGGCUAGGUCAGCGCGGCGUUGGUUGUCCGCGUUUAAGAUCGUAGGCUGGGGACCCAGGCAAAUCCGGGUCCUCAAGGCCGAGAAUUGAUGACGAUGAUCCAAGGAUCAGAAGUGAUUGAUGCCAUGCUUCCAGGAAAAACUUCUAAGCUUCAGGUCAGAAGGGACCGUACCCCAAACCGACACAGGUGGUCAGGUAGAGAAUACCAAGGCGCUUGAGAGAACUCGGGUGAAGGAACUAGGCAAAAUGGUGCCGUAACUUCGGGAGAAGGCACGCUGAUAUGUAGGUGAAGCGACUUGCUCGUGGAGCUGAAAUCAGUCGAAGAUACCAGCUGGCUGCAACUGUUUAUUAAAAACACAGCACUCUGCAAACACGAAAGUGGACGUAUACGGUGUGACGCCUGCCCGGUGCCGGAAGGUUAAUUGAUGGGGUCAGCGCAAGCGAAGCUCUUGAUCGAAGCCCCGGUAAACGGCGGCCGUAACAAUAACGGUCCUAAGGUAGCGAAAUUCCUUGUCGGGUAAGUUCCGACCUGCACGAAUGGUGUAACGAUCCGGACACUGUCUCGGCCAUGAUCUCGGUGAAAUUGUAGUAUCGGUGAAGAUGCCGAUUACCCGCAGUGGGACGAAAAGACCCCGUGAACCUUUACUAUAGCUUCGUAUUGACUUUGAACAAGUAAUGUGUAGGAUAGGUGGGAGACAUAGAAGUGGCAUCGCAAGGUGCUGUGGAGUCGAUGUUGAAAUACCACCCUUUGCUUGUUUAGAGCCUAACUUUAUUUUAAUGAUAGAGGACAUUUCGUGGUGGGUAGUUUGACUGGGGUGGUCGCCUCCAAAAGCGUAACGGAGGCUUCUAAAGGUACCCUCAGCACGUUUGGUAACCGUGCGUAGAGUGCAAUGGCAUAAGGGUGCUUGACUGAGAGACCUACGAGUCGAUCAGGUACGAAAGUAGAGCAUAGUGAUCCGGUGGUUCCGUAUGGAAGGGCCAUCGCUCAAAGGAUAAAAGGUACUCCGGGGAUAACAGGCUGAUCUCCCCCAAGAGCUCAUAUCGACGGGGGGGUUUGGCACCUCGAUGUCGGCUCGUCACAUCCUGGGGCUGGAGAAGGUCCCAAGGGUUGGGCUGUUCGCCCAUUAAAGUGGCACGCGAGCUGGGUUCAGAACGUCGUGAGACAGUUCGGUCCCUAUCUGCCGUGGGCGCUGGAGAACUGAGGGGGGCUGCUCCUAGUACGAGAGGACCGGAGUGGACGCAUCACUGGUGUUCGGGUUGUCAUGCCAAUGGCACUGCCCGGUAGCUAAAUGCGGAAGAGAUAAGUGCUGAAAGCAUCUAAGCACGAAACUUGCCCCGAGAUGAGUUCUCCCUGACUCCUUGAGAGUCCUGAAGGAACGUUGAAGACGACGACGUUGAUAGGCCGGGUGUGUAAGCGCAGCGAUGCGUUGAGCUAACCGGUACUAAUGAACCGUGAGGCA